rnacentral:sRNA from 1 species
GCAAAUACCUGGAGACCAUGUCUGAGGAUGCGACCAGGACCCUGGGGAAAGACAUGAAGUGGUCAACAUUAACCUGAGAAACAAGCCUGAAUGGUACUAUACAAAGCACCCUUUUGGCCACAUUCCUGUCCUGGAGACCAGCCAAUGUCAACUGAUCUAUGAAUCUGUCAUCGCUUGUGAGUACCUGGAUGACGCUUAUCCAGGAAGGAAGCUGUUUCCAUAUGACCCUUAUGAACGAGCUCGCCAAAAGAUGUUAUUGGAGCUAUUUUGUAAGAUUCUUGAGUAUCAGAACACCACCUUCUUUGGUGGAACCUGUAUAUCCAUGAUUGAUUACCUCCUCUGGCCCUGGUUUGAGCGGCUGGAUGUGUAUGGGAUACUGGACUGUGUGAGCCACACGCCAGCCCUGCGGCUCUGGAUAUCAGCCAUGAAGUGGGACCCCACAGUCUGUGCUCUUCUCAUGGAUAAGAGCAUUUUCCAGGGCUUCUUGAAUCUCUAUUUUCAGAACAAUCCUAAUGCCUUUGACUUUGGGCUGUGCUGAGUCUCACCGUCCACCCCUUCACAAUCCAGAAUUCCCCAGCUUGUUGGGAGUUUACAUCACGGAUUGUCUUGGGAAUCAAUCCGUCUUUCUUUCUUUUCUUUGAAGUUCCCAAUAAAAUGAAAACAGGAAA